GAUGAACGCUAGCUACAGGCUUAACACAUGCAAGUCGAGGGGAAACGAUAUUGGAAGCUUGCUUCCGAUAGGCGUCGACCGGCGCACGAGUGAGUAACGCGUAUCCAACCUGCCCACCACUUGGGGAGAACCUUGCGAAAGUAAGACUAAUACCCAAUGAUAUCUCUAGAAGACAUCUGAAGGAGAGUAAAGAUUUAUCGGUGUUGGAUGGGGAUGCGUCUGAUUAGCGUGUUGGUGGGGUAACGGCCCACCAAGGCGACGAUCAGUAGGGGUUAUGAGAGGAAGGUCCCCCACAUUGGAACUGAGACACGGUCCAAACUCCUACGGGAGGCAGCAGUGAGGAAUAUUGGUCAAUGGACGAGAGUCUGAACCAGCCAAGUAGCGUGCAGGAUGACGGCCCUAUGGGUUGUAAACUGCUUUUAUAAGGGAAUAAAGUGAGCCUCGUGAGGCUUUUUGCAUGUACCUUAUGAAUAAGGACCGGCUAAUUCCGUGCCAGCCGCCGCCGUAA
rnacentral:rRNA from 1 species